AUUGAACGCUGGCGGCAGGCCUAACACAUGCAAGUCGAGCGCGCGGCGGACGGGUGAGUAUUGUAUGGGGACUGCCCGAUAGAGGGGGGUAAAUCCUGGAAACGGUAGCUAAUACCGCAUACUCUCGGAUUCCCCAUAUGGGAUUAGCUCGUAGGUGAGGUAAAGGCUCACCUAGGCGACGAUCCCUAGCUGGUCUGUGAGGAUGAUCAGCCACACUGGGACUGAGACAAGGCCCAGACUCCUACGGAGGCAGCAGUGGGGAAUAUUGCACAAUGGGGGCAAGCCUGAUGCAGCCAUGCCGCGUGUAUGAAGAAGGCCUUAGGGUUGUAAAGUACUUUCAGUCGGGAGGCGUUACCGACAGAAGAAGCACCGGCUAACUCCGUGCCAGCCGCCGCGGUAAUUC
rnacentral:rRNA from 1 species